rnacentral:rRNA from 1 species
AUUGAACGCUGGCGGCCGGCUUAACACAUGCAAGUCGAACGAGUGGCGGACGGGUGAGUAAUGCUUGGGAAUCUGGCUUAUGGAGGGGGAUAACGACGGGAAACGGUCGCUAAUACCGCAUACCAUAGGAUGUGCCCAAGUGGGAUUAGGUGGUAGGUGGGGUAAUGGCCUACCAAGCCGACGAUCGCUAGCUGGUCUGAGAGGAUGACCAGCCACACCGGGACUGAGACACGGCCCGGACUCCUACGGGAGGCAGCAGUGGGGAAUAUUGCGCAAGGGGUGCAACCGGACGCAGCCAUGCCGCGUGUAUGAAGAAGGCCUUCGGGUUGUAAAGUUCUUUCGGCGAGGAGGCGUUACUCACAGAAGAAGCACCGGCUAACUCCGUGCCAGCAGCCGCGGUAAGAC